AGUCGUAACAAGGUAUCCGUAGGUGAACCUGCGGAUGGAUCAUUAUAGGGUGUUGGGUAAUUGUGAGUGGUUUUAUUAAUAGUUUGAGCGGUGUUGGUUGGGAUGCGAAGCAGGAUUGCCGAGCAGGAUUGCCGAGCAGGAUUGCCAAGCAGGAUUGCCAAGCAAGACAGCCAACAUUGCCUCACGUUAAACUCUAUAAAUCUAACAAUUACAUACAAAAAAAAACAACUUUUAGCAACGGAUCUCUUGGCUCUC
rnacentral:misc_RNA from 1 species